ACUCCUACGGGAGGCAGCAGUGGGGAAUAUUGCACAAUGGGCGCAAGCCUGAUGCAGCCAUGCCGCGUGUAUGAAGAAGGCCUUCGGGUUGUAAAGUACUUUCAGCAGUGAGGAAGGUGGAUAUGUUAAUAGCAUAUUCAUUUGACGUUAGCUGCAGAAGAAGCACCGGCUAACUCCGUGCCAGCAGCCGCGGUAAUACGGAGGGUGCGAGCGUUAAUCGGAAUUACUGGGCGUAAAGCGCAUGCAGGUGGUUUGUUAAGUCAGAUGUGAAAGCCCGGGGCUCAACCUCGGAAUUGCAUUUGAAACUGGCAAACUAGAGUACUGUAGAGGGGGUAGAAUUUCAGGUGUAGCGGUGAAAUGCGUAGAGAUCUGAAGGUAA
rnacentral:rRNA from 1 species